rnacentral:tRNA from 1 species
AGAGACUUAGGCUAACUAAACCAAAAGUUUUCAAAGCUUUAACUGAGGGUGAAAACCCCCCAGCCUCUG